ensembl:lncRNA
UGUCCCACAGGGGGAGGGGCGUGGGGAGGUGGAUAGAAAGGAAGAGAGCUGUUUGGCUCACACUGACGUGCUGCUGGAGGCGCCUGUGUGCACAGCCAUGGAUGGUGUGUUGGAGGGAGCGGCUGUGGUGUGUGUGUGUAAACUGGCCUGCAGUCUUCUCUUCCUGCCCAUGGUCACUGCUUCUCUCAGUGCAGUCAGCUUCUGCUGCAACUGCCUGCUGCUCUUCACAGACCUCGUAGUCACAAGUACGUGUCCACCUCUAACCCCAUCUCUGCUGUGUACAGCUACAACCACCUGUUUUUCCUUGUAAUAAGAAUUGGCUGGAAAACAGAAAGGGGAGCAGUUGCUAAAGUCCAUGAAUAGAGUACAUUUUGCACACCUCUUGAAUUUUAAAAGCCUGGUAUACAAUCCAUCAAAUCCAUCUGCAUUUUGAAAUGUCCCUCGUUGUGUUUCCCCAACUUCUAGGAAGAUUUUAACCCACAUCAGCCUACUAUUUCUCCACGUUUUCACCGUCAUUGUUAAGCCUUAGUCAUGUUCUUGCUUUGACAGUCACUUCUAAAUAUUAUUAUUUAUUUCAUGUGAUGAGUGACUCAUUUACGUCUGUCCCUCAUUUUAAGGUCAACCCUGAACUCUCGUUUUAAUAUGGUGAAAAUAUUCCUUUUUUAAAAACGUUAAAAGAAACAUUGAACAUCUAAUAGUCAGGCUAGAAAUGUUUUAACAGCUUACAUUGUUUUGUGAAGCAUUCAAUAGCUCUCCCUGUUGCACACGACAAGCUUCCAUUCCCCCAGCCACAAGGGGAUUUAUGGCUGAUUUUUAAGAUGAAGUCGUCAACCCUGCUACCGUCAAUCCUGUUACUUUAAUGCACUUUAAUGGCACUUGCUAUAGUCAUUUUUUUUUUUACUAUUUGAGAAGAGCAAAACAACGCUUUUAAAAAAAAUGAAAUUGAAAAUGUGUUACAAUUAGGUAAAAUGAACACGACCCAAAAUGUACUCUAUUUGUGGAAUGACCCCAAUUUGGUUUAUUACAAGUUCCAACAGGGCACAGAAGCACCUUGUAAACCCAGCACAGAAGAAGAGAACACGCCCCUGGAGACAGGCUGUCAAAACAAAAGGCAGUGACUCUGUCAGCUCCUAUAGAAUCAUACAGUGUUCACAGGAUGUCAGUGAUCACAGUACAACAGUGAAUAAUCAGUGUGUCCUUGGUCAUCCAGUCUGGCCUCAACCGCUAUCAACAGAUGUGAGAAUAAGCCAUAUGAUUCAGUGUCAAGUCUAGUGACCGUCAACCUGCACCUUCAGUGUCGUAAACACUGGAAACAAUGUGUAUUACAGAAAGGCAAAAUAUAUCAAUGUGCUAAACAUUGUGUUAAUCACUGAAUUUGAACUUUAGUGAUCUUACAAUUUAAAUGGGAGUUCUUUAUACUCCUAUGGCCUACUUCAGUGUCCCAAUCCUCAUGCUUCUAGUCCCAUCCUCCACAUUUUUCUAUUUGAUUGAUUGGUCUUUGUUGUCCCUCAGCUAUCCUGGUUGUCCUCUGGUUUGCAGACCCCUGGCUACCUCAGUUUUCCACGUCAUCUGAUGUCAUUGCCCUGCGCUUCCUGCUCUUCCUCAGCCACACCUACUGGGCGGUGCUGCUGAUGACCACUCCUCUUGUUGCCGUGGAGACUGCCAUGAAGUUGCAGUGGCCCCAGGUCCAUGGUGGCAGAGGUAGAGCAGUGGACGGGGACACAGGCGGACGUAGUAAAACUCCGGGCUCUAAAGCUCCUGCACAUCACCAUGGGGUGACAGUGGAGGUAGAGGACGGGCAGAGCAGGGACACAGACAGCCAGAGAGGAGGGAGAGAGGACCAGGAAAAGUGCCUGCCCCACAUCAUUUACUUCCUCUGCUGUCUGCUGGUGUGGGUUCUCUGUGGUGUCUGUGGGGGUCAGAGCUGGAGACUUUGGGUGAAGGUCUGCAUGGAGAGAACCAGCUCUCUCACUAUGUGCCUUCCCAGCCUCCCCAACAAUGUCCUGUCUGCUCUGGGUGAGCCCUGCUGGGCCCUGGCCACCGUGACCUUGGCCCUCCUGCUGGUGCUGACGGCGGGCUGGGGCCUGCUCAGACGACACCUGGCCCACACAGAGAUGGACACGCACUCAACGACACACAAGGGGGAACAUGGCACUGACAUUGAACUGCCCGCACAAACAUUCGCUGCACCAUGCAUGACUGUAAACCCUGCCACGUCAGCGGUGCCAGACACACAGUCUGUUGACCCAGAGACAACACGGUCCAGAUGCUCCCUUCACAGCCCAUGUUCCGGGAACAACAUACAGCUAUCACUGGCUCACCAUGGAUACUCUGUCCUCUUAUCGUUGGAGUGUUUGUCAGCAGACAUCCUAGAGGAACACAGAGAGACAAAAGGCCUAGGAGACAUGCCUCUCAGCACUACCGUGGAGGAACACACAGGCUCUACCUACAGGAGCCAGUGUGGGAUGGGGCAGUGGGGCUUUCCCUGCCUGGGGGUAAACGUAAUGACAGGGUUUGUGUGUCUGCUUAUUGUCUGUGUGUUACCUCUAAAUCUCAGCGUGAACAUCCUACUGAUCAGGCACAUAGAGACAAUGCUGGAGUGGAGUUUGAAGCUCUUAUUGUUUGUACCCAAAGAAGCCACAGACAACACAGGGCUCUCCCAGUCAAUGUAACACAGGCAUAAAGUCAGUGUACUGGACAAUAAACCCGGAUGGGGGUAGUGUUAGAUAUUAAAGUGUGGCUUGGGAAUGGGAUUGUGUUUGAGGGACUUAUUAGGUAUUGUCCGGGGGUAGGAUCAGACGAAUAUUACAUGUACUGUAGACAGCUGGUCUACCUGUCAAUGAUAAAAAGUAAACAAUUCCC